rnacentral:rRNA from 1 species
GUUAUCCUACGGGGGGCAGCAGUGGGGAAUAUUGGGCAAUGGGCGCAAGCCUGACCCAGCAACGCCGCGUGAAGGAAGAAGGCUUUCGGGUUGUAAACCUCUUUAGGCGGGGAGCAAUGCCGGGCACGCGUGUCCGGAGGGAGAGUACCCGCAGAAUAAGCAUCGGCUAACUCCGUGCCAGCAGCCGCGGUAAUACGGAGGAUGCGAGCGUUAUCCGGAUUUAUUGGGUUUAAAGGGUGCGUAGGCGGAUUUUUAAGUCAGCGGUAAAAUGUCCGGGCUCAACCCGGGCCGGCCGUUGAAACUGG